rnacentral:rRNA from 1 species
UACAGGGGGGGCAAGCGUUGUUCGGAAUUACUGGGCGUAAUGGGCUCGUAGGCGGCCAACUAAGUCCGACGUGAAAUCCCCAAGCUUAACUUGGGAACUGCGUCGGAUACUGGAUGGCUUGAAUUCGGGAGAGGGAUGCAGAAUUCCAGGUGUAGCGGUGAAAUGCGUAGAUAUCUGGAGGAAUACCGGUGGCGAAGGCGGGUCUCUGGGCAAUUCCUGACGCUGAGGCGCGAAAGCGUGGGGAGCAAACGGG